AAUUUAUAACCUGAACUUUCUGUCAACUUAUCUGUCAGAAUCAAGAAAACAUUGAAAAAAAUGUUGUUUUACGUAUUUCUGGCACUCCUUGCAAACAUCACUUUAGUUUCAGCAUCGAAUGGUUUUGACUUUGGUGAUACGUUGGCUCUAAUCUUAGGGCUAUUUAUGAGUAUAAUGGGAUUCUUCGCAUGCAUGGGAGCUUAUUCGCGUAAAAAGAGUAAUCUCGAAGCUCUUUAGAUUCCUGGAUAUUAUGCUGAACUUUCAUCUCAAUGCUGCAGUAAAUGUCGACUGAAUCUGCAACAAUAAAAGUUUUUGAGCGGCUGAUCGAUGUUCAGUUAGAAUGAAAAUGUAUUUUUUUACCAAUAGAUUUAAUUCUCCACAAUCUUUUUCCUUCGGUAAUUCAGUCGAGUCACAUUUUCUCAAUUUGCUAAAGCCUGUUGAAAUACUGAAUGCUUUUUAAUACUGAAACGCGAAAAUUGCAUAUCAUGUUUAUAAAAAGAAAUAAAUAUGUAUCAUCUGACAA